GACGAACGCUGGCGGCGUGCUUAACACAUGCAAGUCGAACGGUAAGGCCCUUCGGGGUACACGAGUGGCGAACGGGUGAGUAACACGUGGGUGAUCUGCCCUGCACUUCGGGAUAAGCCUGGGAAACUGGGUCUAAUACCGGAUAGGACCACUGCCUGCAUGGGUGGUGGUGGAAAGCUUUUGCGGUGUGGGAUGGGCCCGCGGCCUAUCAGCUUGUUGGUGGGGUGAUGGCCUACCAAGGCGACGACGGGUAGCCGGCCUGAGAGGGUGACCGGCCACACUGGGACUGCGUUACGGCCCUGACUCCUACGGGGGGCAGCAGUGGGGAAUAUUGCACAAUGGGCGCAAGCCUGAUGCAGCGACGCCCCGUGAGGUAUGACGGCCUUCGGGUGGUAAACCUCUUUCAGCACCGACGAAGCGCAAGUGACGGUAGGUGCAGAAGAAGGACCGGCCAACUACGUGCCAGCAGCCGCCGUAA
rnacentral:rRNA from 1 species